rnacentral:rRNA from 1 species
AAUUUGACCUCGGAUCAGGUAGGAAUACCCGCUGAACUUAAGCAUAUCAAUAAGCGGAGGAAAAGAAACCAACAGGGAUUGCCCUAGUAACGGCGAGUGAAGCGCGAGCAAAGACAUGCUCUAUAUAUUUGAAUAUUCUGCCUCGGCCCGAGUUGUAUAUUUGCAUGAGUGAUGCUUCUCGCCUGGUGCCUUCCGAGUUCUCGCUGCGCAACGGGUGCGCCACAGCAGGGUGACCAGCCCCAGAUGAUGCGUCUGCGACCUGCCUAGAGGCCUGUGUCGCAAGCU